GAUGAAGAACGUAGCGAAACGCGAUAAGUAAUGUGAAUUGCAGAAUCCAGUGAAUCAUCGAAUCUUUGAACGCACAUUGCGCCCGCCAGCAUUCUGGCGGGCAUGCCUGUUCGAGCGUCAUUUCAACCCUCGACCUCCCCUUGGGGAGGUCGGCGUUGGGGACCGGCAGCACACCGCCGGCCCUGAAAUGGAGUGGCGGCCCGUCCGCGGCGACCUCUGCGCAGUAAUACAGCUCGCACCGGGACCCCGACGCGGCCACGCCGUAAAACACCCAACUUCUGAACGUUGACCUCGAAUCAGGUAGGACUACCCGCUGAACUUAAGCAUAUCAUAAGCGGAGGA
rnacentral:misc_RNA from 1 species